GAUGAAGAACGCAGCGAAAUGCGAUAAGUAGUGUGAAUUGCAGAAUUCAGUGAAUCAUCGAAUCUUUGAACGCACAUUGCGCCCCUUGGUAUUCCAUGGGGCAUGCCUGUUCGAGCGUCAUCUACACCCUCAAGCUCUGCUUGGUGUUGGGCGGCUGUCCCGCCCCCGCGCGUGGACUCGCCCCAAAUCCAUUGGCAGCGUUCCUUGCCCCCUCUCGCGCAGCACAUUGCGCUUCUCGAGGGCGGCUCCGGGACGCGAUCCAGCAAGAUGACCCCCGUCUUUGACCUCGGAUCAGGUAGGGAUACCCGCUGAACUUAAGCAUAUCAAUAAGCGGAGGA
rnacentral:misc_RNA from 1 species